rnacentral:rRNA from 1 species
GGGGAAUUAAUUAAUAAUUAAUAAAAUAAAAAAAAUUUUUUUAAAAUAUUUUAAUGGGGGUUAAAGUAUGUUUUUAAGAAAAAAUUUUAAAAUUUAUAGUUUAUUAGUAUUGUAAAAUAAAUUUGAAAUAGAUGAAAAAUAAUUAUUAUAAAAGUAAAUUUGAUUUAUUGUAUCUUGUGUAUCAGAGUUUAUUAAAAAAAAUUUUUAUAUAAAAAAAUCUCGAAUUCAAAGGAGAUAAUUAAUUAAAAAAGUUAUUGUUUCAUAAAUAUUUUAAAUAAUUAAUUUGAAAUGAGAUGUUAAUCGUUUUUGAAUAUAUCUAGUUUUUUUAGAAAUAAAUUAAAUUUAGAAUUUAUUAUGAAUUAAAAUUAUUUAAUAGUUAAAUUUUUAAUUUUAAUUAAAUUUAAUAUUUUAAGGGAUAAUCUUUAAUUUAUAUUUUUAAAAUUUACAUGUAAAACAAAUUAAAAAUUUUAAAAUUUAUAUUGUUUAUAAAUUAUAUUUUAUUUAUAAAAAAUUUUAUUUUAUAAAAAAUUUUUAAUAAAAAAAUUUAAUUUUUUAUAAAAAAUUAAAUUUUAAUAUAAAAAAUUUAGAUAAAAUGAUAAAAUUAGUAUAAUAAAGGAAAAUAAUAUAUUAAAAUAAAAUAAAAAUUAAAAAAAAGGAAUUCGGCAAAUAAAUAUAUUCACUUGUUUAUCAAAAACAUGUCUUUUUGAUUAAUAAUUUAAAGUCUAAUCUGCCCACUGAUAAUUAUUAAAGGGCUGCAGUAUAUUGACUGUACAAAGGUAGCAUAAUCAUUAGUCUUUUAAUUGAAGACUUGUAUGAAAGAUUUGAUGAGAUAUAAACUGUCUCUUUUUUAAGAUUAGAAUUUAAUUUUUAAGUUAAAAAGCUUAAAUUUGUUUAAAAGACGAGAAGACCCUAUAGAGUUUUAUUAUCAAAUUAAUUAUUUUGUUAUUUAUAAAAAUAUUAUAAUUUAAUUAUUUAAUAAUUUUAUUGGGGUGAUAAAAAAAUUAAAUUAACUUUUUUUAAUAAAUAUACAUUAAUAAAUGAAUAAAUGAUCCAUAAUUUAUGAUUAAAAGAAAAAAUUACCUUAGGGAUAACAGCGUAAUUUUUUUUUUUAGUUCAAAUAAGAAAAAGAGUUUGCGACCUCGAUGUUGGAUUAAGAUAAAAUUUAAAUGUAGAAGUUUAAAAUUUUGAUCUGUUCGAUCAUUAAAAUCUUACAUGAUCUGAGUUCAAACCGGUUUAAGCCAGGUUGGUUUCUAUCUUUAAAUAAUUAAAAUAUUUUAGUACGAAAGGAUUAAAUAUUUAAAAUAAUUUUAAUUUUAGAAUUUUAUUAAAAAUUUUUAAAUAUUAAAAAUAAAAAUU